CACCACGAACGGGUGGAGUCUUGCGGUUUUAAUUGGAUUCAACGCCGGAAAUCUUACCGGGACCGACAGCAAUAUGAAGGCCAGGCUGAAGACUUUGCCGGAUUAGCUGAGAGGUGGUGCAUGGCCGUCGUCAGUUCGUACUGUGAAGCAUCCUGUUAAGUCAGGCAACGAGCGAGACCCACGCCCACAGUUGCCAGCGUACUCUCUGGAGUGACGGGUACACUGUGGGGACCGCCGCUGCUAAAGCGGAGGAAGGAAUGGGCAACGGUAGGUCAGUAUGCCCCGAAUAUCCCGGGCUACACGCGAGCUACAAUGGUUGGUACAAUGGGUAUCUACCCCGAAAGGGGACGGGAAUCUCCUAAAACCAAUCUUAGUUCGGAUUGAGGGCUGCAACUCGCCCUCAUGAAGCUGGAAUCCGUAGUAAUCGCGUUUCAACAGAACGCGGUGAAUACGUCCCUGCUCCUU
rnacentral:rRNA from 1 species